rnacentral:rRNA from 1 species
AGCGGCGGACGGGUGAGUAACGCGUGGGUAACCUGCCCUGUACACACGGAUAACAUACCGAAAGGUAUGCUAAUACGAGAUAAUAUGCUUUUAUCGCAUGGUAGAAGUAACAAAGCUUUUGCGGUACAGAAUGGACCCGCGUCUGAUUAGCUAGUUGGUAAGGUAACGGCUUACCAAGGCGACGAUCAGUAGCCGACCUGAGAGGGUGAUCGGCCACAUUGGAACUGAGACACGGUCCAAACUCCUACGGGAGGCAGCAGUGGGGAAUAUUGCACAAUGGGCGAAAGCCUGAUGCAGCAACGCCGCGUGAGCGAUGAAGGCCUUCGGGUCGUAAAGCUCUGUCCUCAAGGAAGAUAAUGACGGUACUUGAGGAGGAAGCCCCGGCUAACUACGUGCCAGCAGCCGCGGUAAUACGUAGGGGGCUAGCGUUAUCCGGAAUUACUGGGCGUAAAGGGUGCGUAGGUGGUUUCUUAAGUCAGAGGUGAAAGGCUACGGCUCAACCGUAGUAAGCCUUUGAAACUGGGAAACUUGAGUGCAGGAGAGGAGAGUGGAAUUCCUAGUGUAGCGGUGAAAUGCGUAGAUAUUAGGAGGAACACCAGUUGCGAAGGCGGCUCUCUGGACUGUAACUGACACUGAGGCACGAAAGCGUGGGGAGCAAACAGGAUUAGAUACCCUGGUAGUCCACGCCGUAAACGAUGAGUACUAGCUGU